rnacentral:lncRNA from 1 species
CAGCAGACAUCGUCAUCGCCCAGAGCACGGUGAUGAAUUCACCGACCGACCGAUUAAUAUUUGCCCGAUUAAUCUGCGAUCUAUACAUGCAUGGUAAUAAUUCGUUUGUCCUCAUGCAUGGAUGGAUGUGGCUACUUAUUUACCAUAAUUAUUAAUCCUUGCCUGCCUGCAUAUGGCUGGCUGGAUUAUUUAUUUUCUACCGUAAUUGUGUCGUGUUUGUUUUAGUAAUCGUCUGACAGCUGCUGCAUGCCUCCGGGUUUAACAUAGAGGGGGAGGAUGAUAUGUGUUGUGUUGUGUUGUGGUGAGAUCGAGUCGAGUCGAGUUGCCUGGCUGCUGCUGUAAUAAGUGUUUUUGACACUCUAUAUGACUCAAGUGAUUCAUCACCAAUGCAAGAAGUGUAACACCGUACCUAACUACCUAUGCUUGCUUAAUUGAUUCCCUUGUUUCAACGACUUGUCUUAAUUUCUUCUUCUUUUUCUUUUUAAGAAAACAAUUGUCUCGAUCGAUUUGCCCUGCGAUUUACUCGAUCGUUGCAGUUAGUCAGCAAAUAUAUAUUGGUGCUGGCAAGGUGCAAGCUCAUAUAGCUAGUACGGUCAACUGCCAGCAGCGGUUGCCAAAUGAUUGGAGUGCAGGAUUUUUUAUGUGGUGCCAAAACGACCGUGCUGCUCGAAUUGUGUGCCAGCCAUUUUAAUGAAUGGAAUUUGCUUUUUUUUUUUUUUGCUACUUGUGUGAUCUACCAGGCUGCUACUACUGCUCGGUGUCCAGUUUCUGUUUUCACCUGCAGAAGGAAAAGGCCACUUUUGGGCCAUUAGAUCCUUGUUGCUCCAAGUAGACCAUUUAGGGUCCAACUGGCCCAGAAAACGAACAGCCCAAUGACAAGAGGAGCAAUGCUAUAGGGAUGCAAUUUGUGAUAUAGAGAACAAAAUCUAGACGGGUGUACGAUUGCUAGGAAAAGCGAGAAUGCAGAGGAAAGGUGUUGAGGUUUGUCACUAGUCCAUGCAGUCGUUGCGCUAUAGGAUGCACGGGUAUGUGGCUAGUUUCCACCGUCUGGAUUGAGAAGAAAAAUGUUCGUCAACAAAAUUCUGGCAAAAAAAUAAAUAAGGACUUAUAGUGCAAAUAGUAGCUCUUAUAUAGUGACAAAAUUGUUUUUUUUUGCCUAUGACAACAUAAAAGGCAUUUCUUUGCAAAAGAUUUUACACAAGUGCAACAAGUCUACCAUGUUCUUUGUACUACCUUGACGGCUGAUGAAUAGAUCCAAAGUUUCUCACAAAAAUAAAUAAAUCUACUUUGUUCAUAAAGAGUUUCAUAAUUUUUUGACUUUCUUACAAAUUACAUUUUUAAAAAAAAUUCGUGUGCAGAUGCACCCGAACACGAACCGUUCUCGUCCCCCUUUGGGCCAUUAGAUUCUUAUUGCUCCCACUAGACCAUUUAGGGUCAAUUUGCCCGCAAAAGAACAACCCUAUGACAAGAGGAGCAAUGGCACCGCUCAAAAAAGGAGGAGCAAUGGUAAAACUCUCCCCUCCUAUAUCGCUCCCUAGCGACGGGGAGGGAACCCUAGACGUCGUUGGGCGCCCUCACCCUCCCGGCCAUCCUCCAUCUCUACCGCCUUAAGUGACGGCAGGGCUUCCCGCCUCCUCACACAUGGAUCCGAUGCGGGUCGGUGCACUGUAAUUCCGAGGCUCACGACGGCGCAACAUGAUCUCUUCUCGGCGGUGACGUCUGGUACUUCUAGUUACGCGGCUGGCUCUAGCACUAGAGCGUGUGGGUGGAGGCGGCGACGGCGACCGAGGUUCCGCCUGAAUCUGUCAUCCGGUGGCGGUUAGCGGGGUGGGUCAUGGGCAGUGCCGGCUACCAUCUACUGCUACCCCUUGGGCGGCGGUGUUGGGGCCGCUGCUGGUUGUUCUUGGCAGCAUGUUGGCCUAUGGCUGGCGGCGACCGGGUCUCCGCCUCUCUCUGCGAGUACGCGGGUUGUGGGUUGACGACGAGUUGGCGGUCCUCGGUGGUUACAACGGGCGCUGGCACUUGUGUGUGGACUCGGAGGUGGUGGUGGCCAGUGUUGCCGAGUUUGCCCAUCAACCAGAGGUGUCAGUUCCUUGGCGGAUCACCGUUGAGAUAUGGAAAGCAAGAUCUGACCGCGACGAUGGCGCCUGGUCGGCAUGGGAUGCAGGUGCUCUCACCAAUUUCUACGAUGUCAGUGCUGCCAACCGCACGUACGACUACAAUUCCUAGGUCGGUGUUGCGCCUCCAAGUUCCAUGCCAGCUCGUUCCGUCGCCUACUUACUUAUAUCAAUUCUAUGUGUGUAUGAAAAUGCCGCUUAUCGACAUCCCCCUGACUAUAGUCAGUGCAUAUCUAUACUGUAUGGAGCGUUUCUGCCCGUUCAUCGUCUACAGAAUAACCCAUGGUUUUAUAUUUAAGUAAUCCGGUCCAAUAUUAAGUGUCCUUUCUCUGUCGUGUUUUGGCCUAACUAUGGUAGGCGCUAUCUCGCACGCCUGAGCGUUGGUUAGUAUUCCUCGUUCAGCCUUAGUAGGCUCAGUUCGUUAUGUUUUCAGCCUGUUUAGGUCCCUGCUUUUAUUAUUUCCAGCGAAUAUGUUAAACAUAAUCAUACUAUAACUUUGCAACCGUAACUCAGAUUAGAAUAAUCUGUAUAUGUAUUUUGAUGAGAAAAAUGUGUAGUUUCCAACCGUGCUACUAUUUGUUCAUGUUAACCACUUUAUAAUUAUUUUAAGGCAUAACCUUGGUUAAUGUAAUUAAUUGCAGUGGUGUAUUUUGGAAAAUGCUAACACACAACAUAACUCUUACAUAACCUUUAUAUAUACCAAAGAAUUAAAGCUACUAAGCAAGCUCUCCUACAAAUUAAUGGAUAUGGAAUAGUUGAACAAGUUUGUAGCAAGCGGUGAGCAAUUAUUUUUCACAAACUAUGAACAAUAAUUAUGGAAAAGGAAACAUAGAUCUCAUGAACAAUUAUUUUUUGGGCAACAAGAACAUUUGUUAGUAGUUGUUGAACAGUAAAUCAUAACCAGCUUUGAACAAUAUUUUUCUGUAUGAAAAAGUAAAAAAUUGAUACCAUGAACACUUUUUUGUACAAAAAAAAGGAUGAACAUUUUAGAGAUGCAUUAAAAAAAUUGAAAACAACAUUUUUUAGUGGACAUUGAUUUUGAUAUAUAGAAUGAGUUUCUGACCAAGAGCGAACCAAAUUAUUGUGACUCUUAUAUAAGCAAAUGAAAACAUAAAAAAUGAUUUAAGCAUAGGAAGAAGUAUGCUGAAAUUUAAUAGGCAGAUGUGAGGCUCUAACCUAGACAGACCAGUGCACCUAACUUUGUUGCUAGCUGGUAAGACUCCAGACCGUUCUCAAGUAAAUGAAAACAUAAAAAAAAGCCACAUCUAAAAAUAUAUAUAAUAAAAUCAAGGCAAGAAAGAGAAAAUAAAAAGAAACCGCUGCUGGAGAGAAAGAAAUAAUAAAAUAAGCGAAAUGAAGAGGGAAUAAAUUAAUAAAAAGUAAUAAUAAUCGAAGAAAAACAAGUCGACCCAGUAAUUUUUUUGAAGCGAAAUGUGUAGUUUCCAACCGUGCUACUAUUUGUUCAUGUUAACCACUUUAUAAUUAUUUUAAGGCAUAACCUUAGUUAAUGUAAUUAAUUGCAGUAAUAAGCGAAAAGUGUAGUUUCCAACCGUGCUACUAUUUGUUCAUGUUAACCACUUUAUAAUUAUUUUAAGCGAAAUGAANNNNNNNNNNNNNNNNNNNNNNNNNNNNNNNNNNNNNNNNNNNNNNNNNNNNNNNNNNNNNNNNNNNNNNNNNNNNNNNNNNNNNNNNNNNNNNNNNNNNNNNNNNNNNNNNNNNNNNNNNNNNNNNNNNNNNNNNNNNNNNNNNNNNNNNNNNNNNNNNNNNNNNNNNNNNNNNNNNNNNNNNNNNNNNNNNNNNNNNNNNNNNNNNNNNNNNNNNNNNNNNNNNNNNNNNNNNNNNNNNNNNNNNNNNNNNNNNNNNNNNNNNNNNNNNNNNNNNNNNNNNNNNNNNNNNNNNNNNNNNNNNNNNNNNNNNNNAGGGAAUAAAUUAAUAAAAAGUAAUAAUAAUCGAAGAAAAACAAGUCGACCCAGUAAUUUUUUUGAAGCGAAAUGUGUAGAUUCCAACCGUGCUACUAUUUGUUCAUGUUAACCACUUUAUAAUUAUUUUAAGGCAUAACCUUAGUUAAUGUAAUUAAUUGCAGUAAUAAGCGAAAAGUGUAGUUUCCAACCGUGCUACUAUUUGUUCAUGUUAACCACUUUAUAAUUAUUUUAAGCGAAAUGAAAAAGAAACCGCUGCUGGAGAGAAAGAAAUAAUAAAAUAAGCGAAAUGAAGAGGGAAUAAAUUAAUAAAAAGUAAUAAUAAUCGAAGAAAAACAAGUCGACCCAGUAAUUUUUUUGAACAUCAGUACAGACACAAACGCGCUCAUAUACACAGGCAUACACUCACGCCUCCGACUGAACCGGCAUAUCAUCUUGAGAUUUACGAAGUCACCGUAGGCGCCUCGUCGUCGACGGGAACGUCUCCUCCCAUUGAAUGUGCAUUGCCGGAAAUCCUGAAAUAAAUCCAAGAAUACAUGCGAGCACCAGGAUUUGAACCCUGGUGGGCUGGGGAUACCAGGGUCCCUCUAACCAUCCAACCACAGGUUGGUUCGCAUCAACCCAAUAAUUUAUUUUCUAAAAUUACUGCUGGCGACUUUUUUUUUAGCAAAACUACUGCUAACAACUACGAAGAAAGAAGCUUGUCUCUGUAAUAAUGUGUUAAAAAAACUACGAAGAGAGAACGUCACGUAAAGGCCAGCCCAGUAGGUGCAUUUGUAGGCGAUACGCCUGUUAAGCGUUUGCGAGAAAAACGCUGGUGUCGGCCCGGUCCAGCAGAUCUGCCGCUCUCACUUUUGAAGAAGGACGACCGACUCCAGAUUGAUCCAUACAGACUGCGCAGCAAUUCAGAUCGAAGAACCUUGCGUGAAAAACCUAGCGUGAUGGCCAAGGCGCUGCAGCCGCCAUGGGUGGUCCAGUUCAACGGCAGGAGCAAACCCGUCAUCGUCGCGGCCUUCGACGGAUGCAGCCGCUGCGACGAGACGCCGGACAUGGCGGCGCUUCAAGGGAAACGAUGCCUCGGCCGGGACGGAGACUGGCCGCUCAUGCUCGACGAGGUCACCAACGGGUGCUCCCUCGUCAACUUCGCUAAUACCUCGCCGUCGACCCCCACGGUAGUCGCUCUCCCGCCUCUGCCGGAGGACGCGCCCGAUUUAUACUUAUAGUUUUGCUGUCGGGGCGGUUGAAGCAGGAACCCAACCCAACUGCAUCCAUGUGCUGCGUAAAGUUUGCGAUGAAUUUGUUAUCUACACUGUGUCUCUAGAUGAUAUGACCAUUGGGCUCCGUAUAGUCGAGGGUUGUGAUGGUGAUGAAGAUGAUGAUGAGGACCAAGUAUUCUGGACACUUCUCAGUAGGUAAGCUUAAUUAAUUCCAACUCCUCGAUUUGAAAAUAUGUGCUUGUUCAAUGUGAUGAUUUAGAGAUGUUUUAACGUUUCCAUAUAUGAAUUUGCAGCUUUGGUCUCAAAGCUGUACAAGCCACCGAUACUAUUGAUUAUUUCUCUAAUGAGGUAUGUAUGAUUAUAUUGUUGUUAACAAAUUCGACUAGCUCUUACUGCAAAUUAACAUUGUUAAGGAAAGAAGGGAAAUUGAAUAGAAAAUCAACAUUGAUGUAACCAUGUGAUACAAAGAAGAAUUGAACAUUGUUUGGGAGAGCAAGAAAAGGAGGACAUGAUGAUGCUUAACGCCGCCUCUCGAGAGGAGAGGCAGUGGUGUGAUCUCCAUACCGACUUGUUGCGGCUACUACUAUCCAAAAUUUCAUUCAUCGAUUUCUUACAUCUAAAGCUAUCUGCAAGCAGUGGAACUCCAUUGAAAGCUCGAUACAACAUGCAAAAGGGUCGCCAUUGCUCAUGACACCCCACCUAGCAGGAAGGACAAAAGAUGAUCUUCUCGAGGUCUUUGAUCCGAUGAGCGAGAAGAAGUACAACAUCAGGGUAAAUAUCCCUACUUCAGGCCUCAAAUCACAGGUUUGUAGUUACUGCAUUUCACAAAGAAUGGUUGGGUCAUCGUGUCAAGAGGCGGUGACCACAUGUACUUCCUAGUGAAUCCGUUCAAGAAUUACCCGGAUGGCAGCCAUGUGAUUGCGCUUCCACUUCUAGAUAUCCUUGGCCUCAAAGGAUUAUCGUUCUCUUCCAUGCCGGGUUCUCCGGACUUUUUGGUCCUCGCCGUGGGAGCCACGCCAGACUGCGAAGUUGCCUUUAUUCAAACAUGGCGAAUAGGAGACAAAGAGUGGAAGGAAGAAAUCUUACGAAAUGUUGAUGUGCCGUUCUUCAUGGCAUCUCACAGCCGAGUCUUCCUUGACGGGGUUGUAUAUUUUCUAGACAUGAAUGGCAGGCUCGCAGUCGUGGACUUGAACAUGGAGAAGAUGGAGUGGAUCCUUGACAAGCCAGAUCAACCGAUACGUGGAAGUGACUAUGUGUAUACAAAUUGGAAGUUCAACUAUAGCUAUCUAGCGGAGUGGAAAGGUGACCUGGUCGCCAUUAUCCGAGAAAACGGCAAUUUUGGCUUCAUCAGAAUAUUUAAGCUUGAUCGGUCUAGAAUGGUUUGGACGGAUUUGGAAGAGAUGGAGGAUGCUGCCGUGUUUUGGGACAGAAGCAAUGCUCUAAUUGCGAGGCCAGCUUGCGGAAGGGAUUUAUGCAACAAGGUGUACUUUCCAAGCUGUACUAAGACUGAUGAUGGUGGGCAGGCCUACUGCUGCUUAAAAGUGUAAGAUGAUCAAGCGUUCCUACUCCCAUCGAUGGGGAGCCGCAGGUUUAUAUUGAUGUGUGCGGCACAAUGCCUUGGGUUACAAGAUAGAGUACAAGAGUUUGAAUAGGAUACUAGAAGGGAAGGAGGUUGAGAUUACAUAAACUCUAACACCCUCCCUUAAUCUCAACUAUCCUAAAUUAAGAUUGCUCUUGAACUCAUCAAAUGAUCGUAUUGGUAGUGCCUUGGUGAAACCAUCCGCCACUUGAUCCUUGGAAGGAAUAAACCGUAUCUCAAGUUUCUUUGCUGCAACCCUUUCUCGAACAAAGUGAAAAUCAAUUUCUAUAUGCUUUGUUCUUGCAUGAAACACCGGAUUUGCAGACAAAUAUGUUGCACCCAAAUUAUCACACCAUAAACAUGAGAUCCGAUUAUUCUUGAUUCCCAAUUCCUCAAGGAGUGACUCAACCCAAAUGACCUCGGCAGUUGCAUUAGCCAAGGAUUUAUAUUCAGCCUCUGUACUUGAACGUGAUACAGUAGCUUGUUUUCUAGCACUCCAAGAAAUGAGAUUUGGCCCAAAGAAUAUUGCAAAGCCUCCAGUUGAUCUUCUGUCAUCACUACAACCUGCCCAGUCAGCAUCAAAGAAUGCACUCACAAGAGAAGAAUUAGAACGUUUGAAAUGAAGUCCUAUUCCUAUAGUAUGCUUCACAUAUCUGACAAUUCUCUUGACAGCUGACCAAUGUGCAGAAGUAGGUGCAUGCAGAUAUUGGCAAACUUUGUUGACAGCAAAUGAGAUAUCUGGACGUGUGAGAGUUAAAUAUUGCAAUGCUCCCACGGCACUCCUAUACCUUGUACUUUCUUCCUCUUGAAGUGGCUCUCCAUCAUAUGCUGAGAGUUUUUCUGAAGAAGAUAAAGGUGUAGGUACUGGCUUACAAUUUUUCAUACCCAUACGAGACAGAAGUUCGGUGAUAUAUUUCUCUUGCUUUAACAUAAUGCCAUCUUGAGUUUUCUUGACUUCAAUACCUAGGAAGAAGUGCAAAUCACCUAGGUCCUUCAAAGCAAACUCUGAACACAGAUCAUGCAGAAGAGCAUUAGUGGCAUUCUGUGAAGAACUUGUAACUAUGAUGUCAUCAACAUAUAUAAGCAAGAAAAUAACUACUCCUGCCUUGUUAUAAAUAAACAAGGAUGUAUCAGCCUUUGAAGCAAUGAAACCAAGAGAUUUUAAUUGUAAGCUCAAUCUGGAGUACCAUGCUCUGGGUGCUUGUUUCAAGCCAUAGAGUGCUUUAUCAAGCUUGCAAACAAAAUGUGGAAACUUCUUACUUUCAUACCCAGGUGGCUGUCUCAUGAACACUUCCUCUUCCAGAACACCAUGCAAAAACGCGUUCUGUACAUCUAGCUAUCUUAGGCUCCAUCCUCUGGACACAGCAAUGGCUAGCACAAGUCUGAUGGUUGCAGCUUUCACAACAGGACUAAAGGUGUCCUCAUAAUCGAUGCCAUAACGUUGCUUGAAGCCCUUUGCAACCAAACGUGCCUUAUACCUGUCAAUGGAGCCAUCUGCCUUCUUUUUAAUCCUGUAUACCCAUUUGCAAUCAAUUAUAUUUGUGCCUUUCUGACUUGGUACAAGAUGCCAGGUCUUGUUUCUCAUAAGCGCAGAAUAUUCCUCAUCCAUUGCCUUCUUCCACUUAGGAUCAUCAAGUGCACUACUCACAGUUGUCGGCUCUCCUGAAAUACACAACAUACCAUAUUGUAUAGUCCCAUCUGUUCUUACUUUAGGAUUUUGUAUACCUUUUUGCAAUCUGGUCAUAACUCUUGGAGAAGCCACAGAUCGGACUGCAGGCGCACUUGUUACAACGGAUCCAGGAGAAUCUGGCGCUGAUGCAGAAGAAUCCGUCGCAGCAUGCACAGGAGAUCCUGUGGCCAUCGGUGCGGUCGCAGCUUCCGCAGGCACACGGGGAGUAACCGCGCGGCGCGGCACAGCGGAUCCACUGCCAACCUGCGGCUGCAUGCGCACGCGGGGCGAGGGGAACCCGGACCCGCUGCUGUCCCCACCGGUUGCUGACAUGCUGACGCGGGAGUGGCCAGCCCGUGCGCCGAAGCUGCUGCUGGUGGGAGCGCGAUCCAAGGGGGAUUCUGUCGCGCGAUCCAAGGACUGCGCGCGUGCAGGCGUAUCAGGCGCCGCCUAAUCGUCCUCGUCAUCCGUGCCAGGUUCGUCUCCUUCUUCAGCAUGAAAUAUAGGCUCAUUUUCAGCUAAAUUUUCAAGGUUUUGAUCAUUUGGAGCGCCGUUUUCAGCACGAACCUGCACAGGCAUAAGAGAAGAAGCAGUGCUAGCAGGAAUAUCAUCACAUUGGUUAGUACAAUCAUCGCCCCCAUGAUCAAAUGACCGAAGAUGUGUAGGAAGGAGAAUAAUUUCUUUUCGGAGGAGAGCACCGGCAUUGGGAUGAAGUGAUGCGAAGGGAAACACAGACUCAUCAAACACGACAUCUCUAGAUAUGUAGACCCUACCAGUGGGAACGUCAAGACAUUUGACCCCUUUAUGCAUAGGGCUAUAGCCUAAAAAGACACAUCUUUUAGAGCGGAAAGCGAGUUUACGUGUGUUGUAGGGUCUAAGAUUGGGCCAACAUGCACAUCCAAAAACACGAAGAGACAUGUAGUCGGGUGUAACACCAAGGAGACGUGUAAUGGGUGUUUCAAGUUUGAUAACUUUGCUUGGAAGCAAGUUGAUAAGGUAUGUGGCUGUUAAGAAGGCUUCAUCCCAAAACUUAAGUGGCAUGGAUGCAUUUGCUAGCAGUGCUAAUCCCAUAUCCACUAUGUGACGAUGUUUCCUCUCAGCAGAGCCAUUCUGUUGAUGAGCAUGAGGACAAGAAACAUGGUGAGAGAUUCUAAGUUUUUGGAAGAAAGAAUUCAAUUUUUCAUACUCACCACCCCAGUCAGUUUGCAUAGCAAUAAUUUUGGAGUUUAGUUUGCGUUCAACAAGAUUUUGAAAAUUGAUAAAGACUUGGAAUACAUCAGAUCUUUUUUUCAAUAAGUAAAUCCAAGUAAAUUUACUAUAAUCAUCAAUGAAGCUUACAUAGUAGGAAAAUCUACCAACUGACGUAGGGGCCGGUCCCCAUACGUCUGAAAAUAUGAGUUGUAGUGGAGAGGUAGAUGCACUAACAGAAAUAGGGUAAGGCAAUUGAUGACUUUUUGCUUGUUGACACGGAUCACAAAUUGACUCAACACUAGGCUCAUAAGAGAGUUUAUUUUUGCUAAGAAUAUAUUUAACUAUGACUGAAGAUGGGUGAACCAAACGACUGUGCCACCUUGAAGACGAAGGCUUGGUGAUAAUAUUUGCUUGUUUAUCUGACCACGAAGAUGAUGACGAUAUGAGUGGGUAGAGACCUCCGACGCACCGGCCUCUAAGAAUGAUUCUCCUUGUUGCCAAGUCCUUGACCAAGAAAAAAUAAGGAUAGAAUUCUAUGAAAACAUUGUUAUCAAGAGUGAAACGAUGGACGGAAACAAGAUUUUUGGAAGUUUCUGGAACAUGUAAGACAUCUUUUAAGUGCAAAUUUUUCAUGGGAUUUUUAACGAUUGAAAUACCAAUAUGCGUAAUAUUCAUACCAGAACCGCUUGCCGUGCGGAUUUGAUCACCUUCAUUGUAGUUCACCCGUGAUGUGAUUGGUUGCUGCACUGUCAGCAUACCAAUUUGUGUCCACUCCAUAGGAGACUGCAUGCGCCUCCUUUUCUUCUUGAUCAUUCUCUUCAUAGCGAAACCAGCAUACACGCGCACCUCCUGGAUGGUGCUUGAGGCAUAUCUGACACUCUGGGAAAUCAUGCUGCUCACGCACCUGCUUCUGUUGCUGCUGCCGAGGACGUCCUCUGAAGCCACCGCUGCCAUUAGAGGGAGAGGACUGGCGGUCACCGCGGUCACCACUGCGGCCGCGCCCCCUUCCUCCUCGCCCGCGAUAGGGUCUGCCGCGGGAUGAGCCACAGCCUCUGUAGACUGCAUUGGCGGAUGUAUGAAACCCGCCUGAGGAAGAGUCGCCCAACAUCUCCAUCCUUUGAUCAAAGGCAGAGAUCUGGGCAAAAAGAUCAUCGGCGGUGAUGCUGUUCUUGGCAGCGCCGAUUGCCGCCACCACGGAGUCGUAGUCGCGAUCCAGACCUGCAAGUAUGUAGUCCACCAUCUCCGGAUCAGAGACGGGACGACCAGCAGCAGCUAGUUCAUCCUCGAGACUCUUCAUCUUCACCAUGUAUGCUGAACUUGACAUGGUGCCUUUCUUGGUGUUGGUGAUCGCAAUCCUCAGAUUGGUAAUCCGAGACUUCGAUUGUGAGGCGAAGAGGUUGUUGAUUGUUGUCCAGAGCUCGAAGGUGGAGUCCCUCCCGACGACCUGUGCAAGGAUCUCAGGAGACAUGGAGUUGAGCAGAUAUGACAGAACCUGUUGAUCUUUGGCGAUCCAAGGUCCAUCCAGAGGAUUCGGCUCUUGGGCCGUAGUUUUGUCCGCCUUUGUGACCUCCACCAUCUUGGGCGGAGUGGCGUCGGAGUUGUCGAGCAGCCCGGUGACCUGCGCACCUCGCAGGGCUGGGAGAACCUGCGUCUUCCAGAGGAUGAAGUUCCCUCUCGCAAGUUUCUCUGACGGAGGCCAACCGAGGUUCAGGGCGACGCCGGCUGAGGAAGCCAUGACGGCAAUCGCGGAUAUGAUCUAGGGUUUUGUUUUCUGGUUUGUGGCUAGAUGUAUGGAAGAGGGGCUCUGAUUACCAUGUAAGAUGAUCAAGCGUUCCUACUCCCAUCGAUGGGGAGCCGCAGGUUUAUAUUGAUGUGUGCGGCACAAUGCCUUGGGUUACAAGAUAGAGUACAAGAGUUUGAAUAGGAUACUAAAAGGGAAGGAGGUUGAGAUUACAUAAACUCUAACAAAAAGAGCAAGAAUACUACCCUGCCUUUUGUGCCAAGGAGCCAAUGAAUGCCAUAUGGUUCCAGCCAAACUUUUAGGAUUUACUUUGGUGAAUGGUGACCGAGCAGUAGUCGACUGGGAGCCUAACAAGGAGUACUUUGAAAUUCCUUUGCAACCUAAAUAGCUGAGGAACAAACACAAUACAAUGGCCUAAUUAAACAUGUUUAUCUUAUUUCCACAUGCAGGCCAAUCAAGAUCGUUAAUAGUUUGUCUUCCCUUCUCUCAGCGAGUGUCUCAAGCUCGUUAGUAACUCUACAUCAUCCUGUCUUGCUUUGAUUUGCACUGUGAUUUACUCGAUCGUGCAAAUAUGUACAUUUGGGUGUCACUGCUCCCUACCAGUCAUCGUUCAGUAUGAUUCCGUGGAGCCAUUGGCGGCUAUGAGGGGGGAAAGUCUUACCAAAUCUGCAUAUGGCCAUCUGGUAGCGGAGAUUCGGCAUCACAUGGUGGAGCGGGAGUUUAUUCCGUGUAAAAUCAAAUGGGAACAAAAUAGGGUAGCACAUCGGUUGGCAUUGUAUAGCCGUACGGAGAGCACUACUGCCGUAUGGCUUGGUAGAAGUCCACCUUGUAUUGAGGAGUUGGUACCUCUCGAUUGUAACCCUACUCAUAUGGAAUAAAACUCUUUUAUCAUCGCAAAAAAAAAGUUUAGGUCCUCCGCCAAUGCCAUAGCCUCCCUCACCGCAAGAGCUUUCAGAGUUGUGGGAUCAGUUAUACCUCUGAAUACCACCGAUGAAGCACCUAGAUAGAGUCCAUUCCUGUUUCUGCAUAUCGCUGUCACUGAGCCCACACCUUGCCGUCCCGCCACAGCAGCAUCCACGUUCACCUUCAUCAUGUGCUCCGGCGGUUGGAUCCAAUGGGACGACCUCGCCGGCCUGGUAUGUGAGCGCUGGAAGUGUGGUUUCUUCAGGACCUGGAGAUCACUCCAAUAGGACUGAAUAAAUGAGUGUGUUGACAUUGGGCUUUGAAAAAUAUCCUCGUAAACGGCUUUUCUUCUCGCUCCCCAAAUAGGCCAUAGCGUGAUCACCAUACAAACUAGUUGUUCAUGUGAUAGCUUGCUGUUCAUUUGGAAAAUCCAGUCCUGUGCAUUGUCGCUCUCAUUCUGGCACAUCGUUUCCACUAUUUCUUCCUUAGCUAAAGCCCACAUACUGCGCGCCAUCGAACAGUUUAUAAGCGCGUGUCUCCAAGAGUCUCUAGUGUCGCAUAAUCUGCAAGCCGCCGAGGUAGCCAUAUUCUUAUGCUGAAGAAGAUCCACAGUUGGCAUUGAGCAUCUAGCCAGUCGCCAUAGGAACAUUUACAAUUUUGAUUGAACUUCAAUCUUCCAAAGCUUUGUCCACUCAUUUGUUUCCCGGUCAGCACCUGACGAACCCUCAACCUCAUCUAUCCAAUUUUCCCUUGUGAUUUUCGUAUGAAGUAUCAUUCUGUAAGCUGAUUUGACAGUGAACAUACCUCGUUUCUCGGCGCUCCAUGACCAGAAAUCAUCAAUAUUUCUAGUACAUAGGGGGAUUGACAAAAUUGCCUCAACAUUGAUUGGCAAGAAUACCUGACGCACCAAAGGCUCGUUCCAAGAUGCUGUUGUUGUGUUUAUCAAGUCGUACACAAACUCUGGUGGGUUAUUUAUCAAAGACGCAAUGGGUCUCAUCAUGCCUGGGCGCGGUAGCCAGUUGUGUCUCCAUAUUUCUGUAGACUGUCCAUUGCCAAUUCUCCUUAUAAUCCCCUGCUUCAACAUAUCUCGUCCAUCAAGGACUGCACGCCAUAUUUGCCCACAUAAUGCGCAUGCUCGUGUCGACAUUUGCUAACUUUUGUAAAAUAUAGCAAUACACUAUUAGCUAUGUAUAUAUCAUAGAAGAACCAUGAUAGCACAAAAUUCAAAUCCAAAAGUUAUAAAAAAUUCCUAAACAUUUUUCUGAAUGUCCACAAGAUAUGUGUCUACAAUCCCUCGAAAUUAGAAAUCCUAAUUCUAGGCACACAUAAAAAAACAAAACGUUGAUUUUGUGCUUUGUAUUUUUGUGACUCUAGUUCAUGCUGGAGUUCACUUAUACAGAGCAAUGAGUGAAAAACAAUAAAAGUAGAAUAUAUUAAAAAUAAAACCACGAGCAAGGAAAAUAAAUAGAUAAUAAAUCAGGAAAAUUAAAUAAAUGAAUGAAAAAGAAUAGAAAAUAGAAACCAAUAAGAUGAGAAAAGAAUGAUUUUUUAGAUAGAAAAUAGAAUGUAUGAAUUAAGAAACGACCAUUGCUACUAGCUACCACCUUUUUUUUAAUUCAACCAGGUACCACCUUGGAAGAAAAAGGUCAGCCCAUACAGGCGACACGCUAAGUGUUCGCCAAAAAAAGAGAGGAAGAUUUUGGGGGUGCUAAAUAACGCGCAGGAGUCAGCUCGGCCCAACAGAUAUACCGCGCGCUGCUGUCCUUGAAAGCGGGAACGAGGCAGCAAGCGUGGGAAAUAUCCUUUGGUUUCUGGAUGUAUAUAUACACCUCAUAUGGAGAGAAAAAUAAUAAUUAAAAUAAAAUUCAAAAAAGUUUAGACUUUUUAAAUAAACUUGACUUUCUUUUGCAUUAGCAUACAAAUUUUCACGAAUAAAAACUGAGCAUUGACUUCAAGGCAAUAAAUAAAUAAAUUAUUUGCUAUUAUAGGUCACUAUUCACACACUAUCUUGACUGAAAUUUUUGUUUUUCUAAAAGAAGUCAACGGGGUUUUUCUUUUGUUGAAUUUUUUUACUAGUACAAUGAAAGAUCAAGUUUAUUUCAAAAUAUUUUCAGAUUUUUGACCUUUUAUUUAAUUACUAUUUUUUCCCAUAUAAGAUGGAUAUACACUCAUACACCAGAAAUUCCCCUCCCAGCAAGCGUGCUCUUUUACGAUACCCAUCGUAACGUAACAAGUCAAAACAGAUCGAGAUCGAGAUAAUUGCAUCUAUAGUCCUCGUAGUCGCUGGCGACGUUUAACUUGGUCCUAGAACUCGCGUAUUGCUUCAAUACGGUCCCGGUACAAGAAAAUACGUGUUCAAUACGGUCCCUAAGGUUGAAACAGCAGUCCUGGCUCUACAGGUGGCAUACGUAUCUCGUAUUUCUAUAGCUGACGGGCUCAUUUGUCUGUGGGCCAAGAAAUAAAUAGAAAAAACACACACGACCCAUUUGUCUUUGGGGCGAGGAAAUAAAAAGAAAAAACACGCUAAAAAAUAAAAGAAGAAAAAUGGACAGGGGGGAUUCGAACCAGGCUCGCGAGCCAACCACCAGGCCAUGUCCACGAUCCUUAGUAUUAUGUGGAUGCAUCUUCUGUUAUCUGGAUAUAUAGUUGUCUUUAAAAAAAUCGUGAAUUUAUAAAAUGUUGAGAUUUUAAAAUAAAUAAUUAACCGAUUCAUUUUUUUUCAUGAUUCAAAAAUAAAAGUUCGUGGAUACGAAAUAUGUCCAAUUUUAAAAUAUCCAUAACAAUGUUUGGGAAUUUUUAACAAAUGUUGACUGAUUCAAAAAAAAUAUUCAUGAAUUCAUAAAAUGGUCGUCACAAACAAAGAAUGUUUCUGAAUUUCAAAAGUUGUUGCCCAAUUACAAGAAAUGUUCGCCAAUGCAAAAAAAACUUGAAGAGUUCCAAAAACCUUUAUUAAUCCAUCAUUACGGGGAAUUUUAUCAAACUAUCCAAACUUUUGUUUACAUUGUAUAGACAUUUGCAAUUUUCACAUACAUUAUUUGUAAAGUAUGCAAAAAAGUUUUUUGCAUUGUAUAAACAUUUUGGAAAAUUUCACAUACAUUAUUUAGAAAUAUGUGAUUAUUUCCUUUAAAUGUUAUGUUUAUUUUUAGAAUGGGAAUAAACAUUUUCUGAACCUUGUUGGAACUUAAUGAAACUAUGCAAACCAUGUACGGUGUAUUCUGCCGGUAAAGCGCGUGCUAACCACCAGACCAAGCGUGUGUGUGUGUCAUAUGUGUGGUGAUGCACUUACUUAUAUAUUUACUCUUUUCUAUAAUAAAUCUAUAUAGGGUUUUUAGUGAAAAUAAAUAUACUUAUUUUUCAAAAAAGAAAUUUAUUUAGGUAUACAAAGAGUUUUAUUUUGGGCUGGACGGGCCUGUAUUUUUUGUUUUAAAGCUACGGCCCAGCUGUCACUGUGUGUAUUCUGCAUUUUUGUCCGUGUUCAUUUUUUAGCGGUCUCCUGUUUGGCGCGAGCAACCUGGUGCGCACCCCCCUAAACUAACUACGUACAAUUGUUUUUUGAAACUGCGAACAUUUUUUUAUUCAUGAACAGUAUUUCAAAUCAGUAAACAUUUUUACAAAUUGGGGUGAACAUUUUUAGAAAUUUCUUCAUCGAAUUGAAAAAAAUUUCACCAAAAUUUUGAAGAUGCGAACAUUUUGAGUUUUAGUACAAAUUCUGGAAUCUUUUUUGAAUUCAAGAAAAUUUUCUGAAAUUGUGUACAUAUUUUUUAGGACUCGUCAACAAGUUUUUUUUGCAUAGCCGAACAUUUCUUGAAAUUUGGAAACAUUUUUUGUUUGUGACGAACAUUUUUUUAAUUCUUGAAUAGUUUUUUGAAUCUUUGACAUUUAAAGAAAUUGGAAAUCUUUUUUUUAAUUCCCAAACAUUGUUUCGAAUAUUUUAGAAAAAAUCAGGGCCGUUUUUUCUAGACAAUAACUGGUAUUUUUGUAUCAUGAACAUUCUUUGAAUCGACGAAAGUUUUUUUAAAUGAACUAUUGAAGAUUUUACAGAUUCAUGAUUUUUUAAAAGGAAGUAUGAAUAUAACAGAGGACGCAUCCCCAGAUUAAACAGCCGCACGUACUUUGCUUGGUGGUUGGCUCGCCAGGCGAUGGUGCCGAGCAUGCUGGUUUGAAUCUCCUCACAACUCAUUUUUUCUUUUAUUUCUUGGCCCACCAUCAAUCCUUUUUAUUUCUCGGCCCACAGAAAAAUGGGCCCGUCAGCUGUAAAAAUACGAGAUACGUAUACAACCUGUAGAGCCAGGACUGUUGUUUCAAUCUUAGAGACCGUAUUGAGAACGUAUUUUCAUGUAUCGGGACUGUAUUGAAGCAAUACGCUAGUUCCAGGACUAAGUUGAACGUCGCCAAUAACUACGAGGACUACACCUGAAAACUCGGCAGAGACCGCGUCGCGGUCCUGCCAGUCCCAAUGAGUUGCAUCAGCUGGAACUGCCGGGGGCUUGGGAACCCCGAGGCAGUCCAAGAACUUCGCAGCAUUGUGAAGUUGGAAGGCCACGCCCUACUCUUUGUCAUGGAAACAAAAAUCAGAGCAAAAAGAGUAGAGGAUUUGCAGAACAGUUUGGGUUUUGCUGGUUGUUUUGCGGUAGACAGUGCGGACCUCAGUGGCGGCAUUGGUCUUUUCUGGUUGCGUGAUGUGUCUGUUGAACUUAAAAACUACAGUCAACGCCACAUCGACGUCUUGAUUACUCAUAACCUACUGAAUUCUCCACCCUGGAGGUUUACGGGGUUCUACGAAGCACCGCGAGCGGAUGAAAGAUACCACAGUUGGCGGUUCUUACGCUCGUUGCACUCUAUUCCUCACAACGCAUGGUUGUGCAUGGGGGGUUUUAAUGAGACUCUACACUCAAAUGAACAUUUUAGCCGGGCUGCUCGCCCGGAGCGACAAAUGCGAGCUUUUCGGGAAGUUACAGACGAUGUCUCUCUUCAGGACUUGGGCUGGUCAGGCACGGCUUACACAUGGGAUAAUCGCCAGUCUGGAGUGGAUAACGUAAAAGCAAGGUUGGACCGAGCCUUUGCUAAUGAAAAUUUCCGGCAACAGUUUCAGCACAUCAGGGUUCGGCACCUUUCUUCGGUGGAGUCCGAUCACUGCUUUGUUGUUGCAGAAAUAAAGGUGACUCUCGAGCCGCGAUCUAGGACCAAAAAGCAGUUUAGGUAUGAAAAUGUCUGGCAGUCUCACUCGGACUAUGAGCGGCUCGUGUCUGAAACCUGGCGGGGAAUACAACGUGGCCCGGGGCUACAAGGCAUUUCUUCGGCACUAGGUGAAUUGCAAGCAACUCUGGAAUCAUGGGGAUCCAGGGAGUUUGGGUGUCUGACCAGGCGGGUCAGACAACUUCAAAAAAAGCUUGACAGGCUCCGUUCCCUGUCUAUUGGGCGCGGCCCUUCGGAUGAGGAGCAAACUACAGUUAAGAAACUAAAAGAGGCACUGCAUCUAGAAGAGGUGUGGUACCGGCAGCGAUCUCGCGUGCCUUGGCUACGGGAAGGGGACCGUAAUACCAAGUAUUUUCAGGCCCAAGCCAGGCAACAACAGAGGAUGAACAAGAUUCAGGGUCUCAGGCGAUCUGAUGGAUCGGUCUGCGCGGAUGAGAGCGACGACAAGGACGAAGUUCAGCAGUUCUAUCAGAAUCUGUACAAGUCUGACGGCUUUCACGAUCCAAGUGAGCUACUAGCUCAUGUUCCGUCCAAAAUCUCAGACGCGAUGAACAUGGAGCUUACUAAACCCUACAAUGCGGAGGAGGUCAAAACCGCGCUCUUCCAGAUGGCUCCUUCCAAAGCUCCCGGUGUGGAUGGGUUUACUGCAGGGUUCUACCAAAAGCAUUGGGACCUUCUAGGUGGAGAAGUUACUAAUGCAGUUUUGCAUUUCCUUAAUGGCGGGGAGUUAGGCCCGGAACUGAAUGAUACUUCCAUUACUCUAAUUCCCAAGGUAAAGCAUCCCCAGUCCAUUACUCAAUACCGUCCAAUAGCUUUAUGUUCUGUCUUGUAUAAGAUUGUGAGUAAGGCAAUUACAAACCGGCUGCGAGGCAUUAUGGAUGAGAUUAUCAGUGAGGAACAAAGUGCUUUUGUGCCAAGUCGUCUAAUAACUGAUAAUGUGCUUGUGGCAUACGAGAGUGUGCACACAUUACGAAGAAGGAAAAAAGGAAAUAAUUUUUCUUGUGCGGUCAAGCUCGAUAUGAUGAAAGCUUAUGACCGUGUCGAGUGGCAUUUUCUUGAAGCAAUUCUGUCCAAGAUGGGGUUCAGUAUUGCUUUUGUCAGGCUGAUAAUGAAAUGUGUAUCUUCAGUUCGGUUUUCGGUUCGCGUAAACGGCGAGUUUCUGCCGUUCUUCACCCCCUCAAGGAGGCUCCGCCAAGGCGACCCUGCCUCGCCGUAUCUGUUCCUAAUAUGUGUGGAAGGUUUUUCCUCCUCAUUGAAAUACUACAACGGAGGUAUUAUUGACAGAGGGUUGAGAGUAAGCUACAGAUCACCGUGGAUCUCUCAUUUGCUCCUCGCAGAUGACAGCCUCAUCUUUAUUGAGGCCAAGGAUCACAGUGCUCUCAGGCUUAAUGAGAUUUUGAGAAUCUAUGGUGAUGCUUCUGGUCAGCGAGUUAACCGCGAAAAGAGUUCCAUCUACUUCAGCACAAAUACUCCUGACCAUGUGAGGGAAGCUAUGAAAGCUGUCCUGAAUAUCCAAGUGGAAGCUUUCACGGAGAAAUACCUCGGGCUGCCAACGGCUGUUAAUUGGGCGUAUUACGAGUGGAACGUUUGAUCAUAUCGGUGAAAGAGCCCGGGGGUACAUGAAUGGGUGGUCGGAAAAAUUGCUUGCAUGCGCUGGGCGUGAAACACUCAUCAAGUCAACAACUCAAGCCAUUCCUACCUAUCCGACGAGCACUUUUCUGUUUACAAAAAAGGUAUACAAGAGUCUGACCUCCCCCAUGGCGAAAUUUUUUUGGAGCAGCUCUUUGGAUAAGAAGGCAAUGCAUUGGCUGUCCUGGGAGGAAAUGACUAAGCCAAAGUGCAUGGGUGGAAUGGGUUUCAGAGACCUACGUCUGUUCAAUCUUGCUAUGCUCGGUAAACAUGGGUGGCGUUUUAUGACGAAUCCCAACUCCUUGUGUGCAAGGGUUCAGAAAGGGCGGUACUUUCCAGAAACUGAUUUUAUGCAAGCGUCGAUUCCUAAAUCGGCAUCGGCCACUUGGAAGGCUAUCGUAGCGGGAAGAGAAGCCCUAAAUGUUGGGUUGAUCGCAAGAGUGGGCAAUGGGAGUACUAUUUUAGUGUGGCACCAAAACUGGAUACCUGGUACUAUCUCCAUGCGACCGAUCUCGAGGCCUCCGAAUACCAAUAUUGAGAGAGUUUCUGAACUUAUUGACUCUGAGAAUUGGUCUUGGAGGCAAGAUGUGGUUAGAGAAAUCUUCAUUGCCCCUGACGCUGAUGCUAUUCUUAAUAUCCCUAUCCAGAGGGGAGGCGCUGAGGAUUCUUUUGCUUGGGCUUUUGAAAAAUCUGGCAACUACACUGUGAAGACGGCGUACCGUGCUCUCAUGACUCGCAAUGAGCGUCUUGCUCGAGAGGAAGGGAUGGCUACCGGAACCUCAGGGAAUGAUCAACAGUUGUGGAAGGCCUUAUGGAAGCUCAAUGUAAUUCCCAAAGUGCGCAUUUUUUGGUGGAGAGUCCUCCGUGGCAUUCUCCCUGAUGAAAGCACGCUCAAAUACCGCCAUAUCGCAGUCAUUGAUCGAUGCAAGGUAUGCAUGGCAAUGAGUGAGGAUUUAAAGCAUGCAUUGAUACAUUGUGUGCAUGCUCGUCGUUUUUGGGAGGAGGCGUACACAUGGUUCGGUCUUCGGCUUCCGCGUCUCCAUCCAGAUUCGUGGGCGCGCGAUAUCAUAUGUGAUGCCAUGUUUUCUGAUGAUGAUCGAGCAAAGAUUACAACAAUCAUGUGGUCAAUCUGGCACUCCCGAAACCGCAUCAAGCAUGGGGAAGAAGGACGCGACCCAGUAGCUACCACUCGUGCUGUAAAGGAGGCCAUUGCUCUCCUUAAUCUCCCACGCAAAGUAGCUGAGAUUCUGCCAGGGUUUGGGUGGAGGCCACCUGAAGGGGGAGUGAUCAAAAUCACCACGGAUGGUGCGCUCAACUUUGAAGAUGGUNNNNNNNNNNNNNNNNNNNNNNNNNNNNNNNNNNNNNNNNNNNNNNNNNNNNNNNNNNNNNNNNNNNNNNNNNNNNNNNNNNNNNNNNNNNNNNNNNNNNNNNNNNNNNNNNNNNNNNNNNNNNNNNNNNNNNNNNNNNNNNNNNNNNNNNNNNNNNNNNNNNNNNNNNNNNNNNNNNNNNNNNNNNNNNNNNNNNNNNNNNNNNNNNNNNNNNNNNNNNNNNNNNNNNNNNNNNNNNNNNNNNNNNNNNNNNNNNNNNNNNNNNNNNNNNNNNNNNNNNNNNNNNNNNNNNNNNNNNNNNNNNNNNNNNNNNNNNNNNNNNNNNNNNNNNNNNNNNNNNNCGUACUCAGGGAUCUCGGAUCCCCUCAUCAUAGAAGCUUUUUCGCUGCGAGAUGGAGUUCUUUUUGCUGCCUUAAGAGGAUUCUCGCAUGUGAUAAUGGAAGUGGAUUGCCUGGAGCUGGUGAUGCUCUGGAAAACCCGCCACAACUCUCGCUCCGUUGUGGCCCCGAUCUUGCUAGAAAUAGGAGAGCUUAGUGAUAGUUUUGUUCUAUUUGAUGUUCAACAUGUAAACCGGUCGGCAAAUCUUCCUGCGCAUCUUUGUGCAAAACAUGCAUGCACACUGAAUGUUACGGAUUGCUGGCUUGGGGAAACCCCUCGCUUCCUUGUGACCAGCCUCUUAGCUGACUGUCCGGGGAAUGCUUUCGUUUGAAUAAAGCUCUCUGAUUUGCCCGCAAAAAAAAAACUACGAGGACUAUAGAUGCAAUUAUCUCAAAGUCAAGAAUUAUCUCAAAGUCAAGCCCCUCCCAAAGCCCAAUAUGAUCGAUCUAUCCUGACGCGCUGCGGAAUCAGAAGAGAUCGAAGAAGCAUACUACUCCAUGGCCAAGAAACAACAGCCGCCGUGGGUGGUGCAAUUCAAUGGGACGAGCGAACCCGUCCUCGUCGCCCCGUUCGGCGGAUGCCCCCGCCCGCACGAGGAGACGACGGACAUGGCGGCGCUGCAAGGGAAGCGAUGCCUCGGUCGGGACGGGGACUGGUCGCUCAUGUUCAUGCUCGACGAGCUCAACAAUGAGUGCUCGCUCAUGGGCUUCGCUGAUGCGUCGGCGGCGGCUCCCACCGUGAUCGCUCUCUCGCCGUUGCCCGAGGGCGCGCCACCGCCACGCGUGCGGUUUGGCUGCGCGCUCUCCGCGCAAACCCCGCCCGACUGCACCGUCAUGCUCGACUUGGUCAGGGAGAAGUCGCUCCUCCACUGCCGCCCAGGGGACGCCGAGUGGUCCCGCCUCCCCGUGGAGUUCGCCGAGGAGGGGGACGAGUUCGACGGCCCCAUAACCGCCGGCCAGCACGGGAAGGUGUACGCAACGACCAUGGUAUCCCUGGUGGCCAUUGACGCGUCCGGCCGGGCGCCGGGGGUCGAGAGGACGGACAUGAGGCACCCGCCAGCGUGCCCUGUGCACGAAGGGUACAAGUCAGGGUGGACACGGUCCGGGCCGGUCCGGUCCCGGUCUGAGCCGUCAUUUGGACCGGCCCGAGCUGUCCAACGAGCUGCUUUUCUGGGACCGGACCGUUUGGGGGUCAGCUCGGUCAAGCCCGAGAGGACCGAAUGGACCGACCAGUGAUGUUGCCCUGGCAAGCUGUUUUCUGCUGUGUUUAGGUCCUAUUUAGCUGCUGUUUAUGUAGUUGCAGAUAGCUGCCGAUCGCACAAGAGAGAGAGGGAGAGGAUUUACUGAAACUAGCUAACUGAAUCUAGCUAACCAUCUAGCUGAUGUUUAGUCCUGCGAGCGAAACUAGCUAACCAUCUAACUGAAUCUACUGACAGACUAGCUAACUGAACUACUGACCGUACUGACGAAACUGAAUUUUUACAUACUAACAGCAAGCCGCCGGUGUAUGUGGACACGCUCAUUGCCUUCUGGGUCCUGGAAGACCACAACGGUAGCAAUUGAAGGCGGCAGCGUUGGCUCGCCGACAGAGAAAUCAUGGGCUUGUGCGCCGAGUUCGUUGGUGCAUGAACUGAAACAGUGGCCUCGGAGCUGCAGUGCAUCAUGGCGAACCUGGUGAAACGCCCACACAUGCAAGAGGCCGUCCAGUUCAUCCUGGUGGCGCUGGCGAGGCGUUCGCCUACCUGGGCUAGUUGGUGGCCAGGUGUGCGUGCUGAGCUCAAACGACAGCCAUGGUCAUGGUCGAGAACUCUAGAUCGGCGGCGGUGCAAGCACAGCAGCGAUGGCGAGUGGCAGCAAGAGGCUAUGGUGCUUGGGGAGGAGAGGAAGGAAGAAUAGGGGAAGCUCGGGGACACGAUGGUUCACCCGGAGGCUGCCGGUGGCCGCGACGACGAGGAACGGCGGUGGCCGUGACUACGUUUUCUCGGUCCGCUCGGUCGGCUCGGUUAAAGCCCGGACCGGACCGAAGCUUUGUCGGGCCUGAUUCUUGAGCUCGGACCGACUGAUUUUCUGAGCGGGCUAGGCCCGAGCUGGCCAGGACCGAGCGGGGCACGAGCCGGUCCGGAAGACCGCUCGUGUCGUCCACCCUGAGGUACAAGUGCUACCCGGUGGCAUGCCCUGGCGGCGAGCUCUUCUUGGUGUGUUGCUGCCUCUCUUUGGCCUCCCGGCGGAGGUGGUGGACGUGAAGGUUUUCCGAUGGAAUGAUGAGGACAAUGCGUGGGAGACGGUUGUAACCAUCGGGGAGAGAACGUUCUUCGCCGGCAAGUUUACUUUCGCGGUCCCGUCGGCGGCUGAAGCAGGAACCCAGCCCAACUGCAUCCAUGUGCUGCGCUCAGUUUACGGUGAAUCUCAUAUCUACACUGUGUCUCUCGACGACAUGACCUUAAGGAGCAGUGUAGCCGAGGGAUGCGACGAUGAUGAUGAUGGCGACGACCAAGCAUUUUGGGCUCUUCCCACUAGGUAAUUAAGCUUAGUUUCAAUCGCUCGAUUUGAACAAGUACUCGUAUACGCAAACAAAAGAAAAACGGAGGGAGUAUUUGUGAGAUGGGUUAAUUUUUCUAUGUAUGUAUAUCAGCUUCGGUCUGGUAGCAGCACGAUCCAGCGACACUCCUGAUGGUCUCUCCAAUGAGGUAAAUCUCUGAUCUCCUAUAAUAUUGAUAACUCAAUUGACUAGCUCACUGCAAAUUAUAUAGGAUUACCAAAGAAAGAAGGGAAAUUAACCUGUACUUGACAGGUGAUGCAAACAAGAACUGAACAUUGCUGCAAAGAGGAAGAAAAAGAGGGCAUGACGACAAACACUGGGACCUCUGCAGACGAGAGGCGGUGGUGUGAUUUCCACACUGAUUUGUUGCGGCUACUAGUACCCAAGAUUUCAUUCAUCGAUUUCCUACACCUGAAAGCUGUCUGCAAGCAGUGGAACUCCAUUACAAGUCAUAUCCAGAAUGCAAAAGUGUCGCCAUUGCUCAUGACAACUCGCCCAGGAGGAGGGGCCAAGGAGCUAGAGGUCUUUGAUCCGGUGAGCGAGAAGAAAUACAACAUCAUGAUAAACAUCCCUGUUUCAGGUCUCAAAUCGCAGGGAUCACAGUUAGUACAUUUCACAAAGAACGGUUGGAUCAUUGUGUCCAGAGGCGGCGAUCACAUGUUCUUCCUUGUGAAUCCAUUCAAGGAUUACCCAAAUGGGGGCCAUGUGAUUGCUCUUCCGGCUUUGGAUCUCCUUGGCCACAAAGGAUUGUCAUUUUCCUCGAUGCCGGGGUCUCCGGACUUCAUAGUCCUGGCCGCUAGUUGUACCCCUAAUGGAAAAGUUAUCAUCAUACAAACAUGGCGAAUGGGAGAUGAAGUGUGGAAGGAAGAAUACUUAGGCAAUGAUGACGUGCCAUUCUUCAUGUCAUCUCACAGCCCCGUCUUCCAAGACGGGGUUUUCUAUUUCCUGGACAUCAAUGGCAGGCUUGGAGUCGUGGACCCGAAUGAGGACGAGAUGGAGUGGAGAGUCCUUGACAAGCCAGAUCAACCGAUACGUGGAAGCGAUGAGGUGCAUCUUUCUGAAAGGGAAUACAACUAUUUGGUGGAGUGGAAGGCAGAGCUAAUCGCCGUUUUCAGGGAUAGUGCCGAUGGGUCAGUUAGAAUGUUCAAGCUAGACCGGUCUCACAUGGUUUGGUCGGAGUUGGAAGUGAUGGAGGACGCGGCUGUGUUCUGGGAUAGGAGCAAUGCUCUGAUUGCCGUACCACCUGCCGGAGAAGAUUUAUGUGACAGGAUGUUCCUACCGAAUUAUAACGAGACCGACGAUGGUGGCAGGACACAAGCCUUCUACUUAUUUCGGGAGCAAUGUGACUACCCUUCGUUCAAUGCCAAGGAGCCCAUGAACGCCAUAUGGUUUCAGCCAGACUUGAACGUACUUAUGGUGACGACUCACCAGUAGUGCAUGUUAUUUCCUUGUUGAUUGAGAGCCUAGCCAGGAGUUCCUGCAAAUUCAUCGCAACAUAGGUAGCUAAGGAACAGGAAACUGUAGGGGGCUAAACAUCUAGUGCAAUAUUAUUGCCAAGCAAGGCAUCAUGUUUCUUCCCGUAAGCUAAAUUAUUAUACAUUCUGAUUAUCAUAUAUAGUAAUCGGUUCUAAAUUAUCUAUUAUGUUGAUCAUAUGAUAGGUUUCUAAUUGUAAUGGUGAUGAUUUGAAAUCCAAUAAUAAAGUUUUCCAGCAAAGAAAAUAGAAAUCUAAUAGUAAUAAAGUUAUGAAAAUACGUUAUACAUGUGACAUUCGCUCAACCCCUUUUUUGCUUGACGCCACGUGAGCAGUCUGAUGCGACGCACGCGUCCUGAUAGCGUGGCAAACCGCGGGGCAAACACUCGCUAUUUUCUGGUUUCCUGUGCGAAUGCAUCCUUGCAGAAUACUCAUCUUCAUGUCUUCUCCAUUCUGCUCCCCAUCAUCGUCCCAUACUCCCAUACCCCCCAUCCAUUCCAUCAUUUUGAUUGUGCCUCCUCACACAUCACUCAAAUCCACCCCCACCGCGCACCAUAGUCACCGUCAAUUUUGGGGAUAUUGUUUCUCAUGAACUUAUCGGUUGACCAAUGAUAAGUGGUAAAUCAGAUGGUUUAUCGACAUAUAUGUCGAUUUAUCUUGUCGGCUAGACACCGGUAAGCGAUAAGUCGAUCGGUUUAUCAGAAUAUCGUUGAACAUCAUGCCUCUCGUUGCGUCAGUGGAACGAAGGCUCUCCUCGGCGGCCACUCUUCUGGACCUAGGUUCAAAACUUACUCUGGUGAACUCGGUGAUCACUUCUCUUGCAAUAUAUGCCAUGUGUUCUAUCAAGAUCCCACCGAAAGUCCUUGCCCUCCCGGACAAACUUCGGAGAUACUGCUUAUGGGCCAAAAGCUCGGAUGAUGGCACAAAGGCGGUCUCGAUGGCUGCAUGGGAGCUGAUUUGCCGUCCCAAGAACAAAGGGGGGCUCGGAGUGAUUGAUCUCAGGAUCCAAAACCAUGGAUUGCUCCUCAAGAUGUUGCACAAGUUUUAUAAUCGUAUGGAUUUGCCUUGGGUAAAACUGGUCUGGUUAGCAUACUACGAGAGCUUGGUACCACAUGCAACUGAUCCUUGUGGAUCGUUUUGGUGGCGUGACAUCAUGCAACUUGCGCCAAUCUACAGAGGGGUCACAACUGUGGACGUGGAUGAUGGGAGUACGAUCCUUUUCUGGAAAGACAUGUGGCACAAUGGCAUCCUGUCCGACAGUCAUCCCCGUCUAUACUCGUUCGCCAAGAAUGAAGAUGUAGCUGUACGUGACCUGUUAACUGCCAGUACUCUUGGCCAAAACUUUCAUCUACCACUCUCAAUCCAGGCCAGGGGGAGCUUCAAGAUCUACAAACCAGCAUGGCCACGUUGGAGUUGGCUGAUACUAGGGAUGCCUGGAAAUGUGUUUGGGACUCUGAGGGCUUUGAGUCCAGCAAAUUCUACCUGCACUGCUUCCGGGAUGGCGUGGCAGACAAGGCCUUUGAAUGGAUCUGGAAAUCCAAGUGCACUAACAAAUGGAAGGUUUUUGCCUGGCUGCUACUCGCAGACAGGUUAAAUACACGCAACCUGUUGAAGAGGAAAGGUAUGAAGCUCAGGAAUGAUGUCUAUGCCUGCUUGUUGUGCUCCAAUCCUCCGGGGGAAACGGUUGAGCAUCUCUUCUUCGGAUGCAACUUCAGCAGAUCGUGCUGGGAGGAGUUGGGAAUCGCGUGGCCAGCGCAAGGCGACAGGUUGCAGCUUCUGCAUGCGGAAAAAGACGUGUGGUCCCGGCCCAUGUUCAUGGAGAUCUUCAUCAUAGCGGCCUGGAGCAUAUGGAAAGAACGUAAUAAUAUGCAUUUCAGAGGGAUCAUUCCUACGAGGAAUGGGUGGCGUCAGAGAUUCAAGAAUGACUUUUUUUUUGAGAAUCAGAGUAGGACAAACUACUCAGAAGGACAAAUACAUUUGCUAAUCAUGAGAGAACGAAGACUGUCCGGUACGUCCGCAAGUAUCAGGUUAUCUCCAGCGCGCCUAGCUUCUGCCGCCAAUCCAUGUGCCAGAGUAUUUCCAGUUCUUCCAGUACUGCUGAUGGUGUAAGAUUGAAAGGCUGUCAAGGUGUUUUUGAUAUCCACAAGCAGGCCAUAGCAGGCCGAGCGUGAUUUCUGGUCAUCAGACAGUUCUUUGGCAAUGGUUUGGCAGUCAGUUUCAAGACUGAUCGGACCUCUAUGGUAAUCAGCCAUGUUUGCAGGCCAACCAAAAUUGCCCGGGCUUCUGCCUCUUCCACACUACUGCAAGACGGCAACAACUUAUAGACCGAGAGAUAUACACGGCCUCUGAAGUCCCUUGCUAUCGCACCUGCAGAACUGCUUCCCGUCUCUGCGAUAAAAGAUGCAUCUGUGUUAAUUUUGAUUGUGCCCCGGUCAGGUGGACUCCACUUGUUGUUCAGCGCCACCGUGGUUUGGUCCUGGGGGGCCGCCAGGCCCUGUCCACACUUCCCCUGAUAAGAUUCAGUAGUCAGCCCGCAGGUUCGAAGCUCCUCCUCGUACUUCAUCAAGAACUGCACUGAAACCAAUAUAGGUUCCUUGCCUGGUCCUCUGAUGCAGUCCUCCCUUAAGUACCAGCAACGCCAUAACAACAAGAGGAUUUUUGCACGCAUAUCCUUAGAUUCAGUGUCAAGCAGUAUUUGCAGCCAGUCAUCUCCAGUAUAUCUGAACCUGUCCUCUGCAGGUAAACCCCACUUCUUCCGUAAAGCCAAGCGCAGAGCUCUACUCUUUGUGCACGCUACGACAGCAUGAUAUUCGUCUUCGAUUCCGUUACCACAAAUAUUGCAAGUGGCAUCAAGCUCAAUGGUUCUCUUCCACUUAUUCUUUCUGGUGGCGAGAGUGCUUGUGGCAAUCUUCCAGCCAAAGAUGCGGACCUUCCCAGGCACUUUGGCUUUCCAGAUUAAGUCCCAAAUACUACGAUCAUUCGGAUCUCUAGAAGAGCUAGAUGGGUUAUCUCUGUCUUGAAACUUUAAACCCAUAGCAAGCUUAUAUGCACUUCUGACCGAGAACAUUCCGUUCUUUUCGUAGUGCCACGCUAUGCAGUCCCUUGCAUCAGAAGACGGGAUUGACAGUUUACAAAUCUCGUCAGCAUCAAAAGCGUGAAAGAUCUGUCUAAUUAGUGCCUCAUUCCACUCCUUUCUAUCUGGGAGCAGGAGUUGAUUAACCCAGCGAAUUCUUGACCUUCCGAUCAAAGCUGCCGUCAUGAGUCCCUCUUUCCUUGGGAUCCAUUGAUCUCGCUGAAAUUGUAUGCUUUUUCCGUCACCCACUCUCCAGAUAAGACCUUUUUUUAGAAGUUCUAGCCCAAAUUCAAUCGCCCUCCAUACUGAGGACGCAUCCGACGCAAAGACGGUAUCCAACAAGCUCCCAUUGGGGUAGUACUUGGCUUUCAGUACUCUCGCACAUAGACUCUCAGGAUUUUGAAUCAACCUCCAAGCUUGUUUAGCCAGCAACGCCUGAUUAAAAAGGUGCAUAUCUCGAAAACCGAUACCUCCUCCUCUUUUCGGCAUAGUCAAUCUAUCCCAGGACAUCCAAUGCACUUUUCUCUGGUCCUCCUCUUCUCCCCACCAAAAUUUCCUAAUCAUCCGCUCGUACUUUUCACAGAAACCUUUUGAUAGCAUGAACACACUCAUUGUAUACACCGGAAGGGCUUGGACUACAGAUUUGACAUGGGUCUCCUUUGCCGCAUAGGACAUGAAUUUUUCCGACCAUGCACUGCAUCUCUUCCCAAAUCUAUCCAUGAUAGGCUGAAACUUGUCAUCCUUCAUUCUCCCCUCUGGUGUGGGCAGCCCAAGGUAUUUACUUUCAAAAGAAUCAGAUUGUACCCCGAGGAUUUUCUUGAUUCCUUCUCUUGAUUCAGCUGGGCAUACCUCACUGAAAAGAAGAGAGCACUUGCUCUCACUGAGGAGCUGGCCCGUACUUCUUUGGAACGUGUCCAAAACUCUCUUGAUUGUAGCAGCCUGCUCCAAGGUGGCCUUGAAGAAGAUUAAGCUAUCAUCAGCAAACAAGAGGUUAGAGAUACCUGGGGCGUUUCCAGCGAUCUUUAGGGGAGUUAAACUGUUUUCCGCCAUCUCCUUCUUCAGCAGAUGCACCAGGCCAUCGGCAACAAACAGAAAUAGAUAUGGGCUUAGUGGAUCUCCUUGGCGAAGCCCUCUAGAGGGGAUAAACGGUUCCAAUAAUUCGCCGUUGCAUCUCACCGAGUAGCUCACUGACCUAACACACUGCAUAACCCAGUUGGUCCAUCUCCUGCAAAAUCCAAGUUUCAGGAGCAUUUCUUCCAUGAAGCCCCAGUCGACCCUGUCAUAGGCUUUGGCCAGAUCGAGCUUGUAGGCACAGUAGUUGUCCCUCCCAUUCCUGCUGUGCUGGAUCUUAUGGAAGCAUUCAAAAGCGAUAAUGGCGUUGUCCGUAAUCAUCCUGCCUGGGAUAAAGGCACUUUGACUCUCUGAUAUAAUUCCGUCCAGCAGGGGUCGAAGCCGAUUGACCAGGCAUUUCGACACCACCUUAUAUAUAACGUUACAGAGGCUAAUGGGUCUGUAGUCCUUUACUGUUUGGGGAUCAUUUCCUUUUGGUAUAAGGACAAUCAUUGUUUCAUUUACUCCUGUGGGCAUUGCCCCUGAUUCAAAAAAUUCCAUUACUCCUUUCACCACAUCUUCCUUGAGCUCACCCCAAUUUCUCUGGUAAAAACGGGCUGGAAACCCGUCUGGACCCGGCGCUUUGAGAGGACCGAUUUGGAACAAGGCGUCGCUGAUCUCCUUGGCAGUGUAGGGUUUUGUGAGUGACUCAUUCAUCUCCAUAUUCACUCGUUCAGACACAAGGCCUAGAAUUCCACUUGGGUCAACACCCUGUUCUUUUGCAUACAGACUUUUAAAGUAGGCGCUCGUCAUAUCAUGUAUGCCUUUGGAGUCCUCAACCCAGUCUCCAUUGUUGUCUUUCAGUCUCGAUAUGGUGUUCUUCUUCUUCCUCCAGGUAGCCUUCUGCUGAAACCACUUCGUGUUUCGGUCCCCUUCUCUAAGGUAAGUUGCCCGUGAGCGCUGCCUCCACAUAAGUUCCUCCCUAAGCAACAAUUCAUCAAGCUCCUUGCUGAGUUUAGCAACCUCUUUGUCCUGUCCAGGUGAGCUCGGAGGGCUCCACAAAGUGCUUAGUUUUCUCCUGAUCUCCACUGUCCUCUUGAGAACUGAUCCGAAAUCACGUUCCGCCCAAUCUCUCAACUCUUUCUGCAUAGCCUUUAGUUUCUCAUUCACCUUCUGUAGAUUUCGGGCCGGGCCUUCCUUUCUCCAAGUGUUCGUGACAGUGGCUUGGAGUGAGUCCUGUCGUUCCCACAUAUGUUCAUACCUGAAUAUGUUUGUCUUUCUUGCUUCCUUCGGUCUCCAUUCUCUUCUGCUUCCUAGCCGCAACAGGAUAGGAAGGUGGUCUGAUCGUGAUGAACAGAUAUGUUCCAACCUAGCCUCUUUGUAGUGGUCCAUCCACGCAGGUGAAGCUACUCCUCUGUCCAAGCGAGCUCGUACAUUCUUCAAACCUUCCUGUUUGUUGUUAUAUGUUCACACCGGCCCCUUGAAACCCACAUCAAAAAGAUUGCAGUCUGAGAGCACACUCCUAAAAUUUUCCAUGUGUUUCUCUGAUCUUUUCGACGCUGAUAUAUGCUCAGAUUGCCACAUUGUCUCAUUGAAAUCACCGAUCAUAAGCCAUGGCAGGUUCGAGGUGUCUUUUAUCCUUCGUAACAGAGUCCACAUGUGGUGGCGUUCAUGCGCCUUGGGCUCACCAUAGACAAAAGUAGCCCGCCAUUGGAGGCCAUGAGGGUUCAUACGGACUAACACAUCGAUGUAUCUCGCCCCUGCGGCAAUCUUCUUUAUUUCAAUAUUCUCAUCAUAAAAGAGGGCAAUGCCGGCACCUUUACCAGUGCCGGAUUGCGUGAUACAGUGGCGAAGGCCUAUCCUCCACUUCAGAUUGCUGACAUAUUUAUUCUUUUGCCGGGUUUCAGAGAGGAAGACGAGCUUGGGCUUGUACGUGUGCAUGAGACACACGAGUUCCUGAACUGUUCGAGGUUGCCCGAGGCCUCGACAGUUCCAACUUAGGAUCGUCAUGGCUCCUGGCGGGCGUCAUCCUUGACACCCACCAGUUUACCGGGAGCCCCUAUGCCGGUUGCUUCCUGUCCACCAUCCUUGCCCACAUCUUCCAUACCAUCCAUCUGACCUGUGCUCUUGAUUUUCUUCUGCUGAUCCUGCUCAGCGUCUUCUUUAUUUUCUUCGACGGUUGUAUCUGCCUCCAGGUCCCUCUCGCCUCUCUUUCCUAGGACUGUGAUCGCCGGUGUUAUCUUCUGUGCAUUCCUCCUACUGCUGUGGUGUUUCUUUGCUGUACUGGUGGACUUAUUCAGGGCUGGCUCUAAAUCAGAACCACCCCUAGACAGUCCAACAGUCACUAUGUCCGCAGCCAGUGGUGGUGUAGAGGCAUUGCCAACAGCUUUGGCAAACUGGUCACCCGCCUUGGGAGCGAGGGGACAGGCCUGCAGCCCCUCUUCCAUCGAUGCCUUCUGCUGCAGUUCAGGCGGCGCAUCUUGCACAAGGGCUGGGGCAGGAUCAGAGUUCUCCACAGGGGCCUCCGCUUCAGGCUGAACUAGGGCUUCAGUAGCUGCCUGGUGCACACCAUACAUCGGGACGGGGCCGAAACCCGGAGGGUAGUCCCGACCGGCUUUCAGGUUUGCCACGCCACCCCCACCAGCCAGGGGGAGAUUGACUGUACCGGUGUUGCCAUUGUUAGCGUUUGAAUCCUCCCCUUCAGUCCGGUCAGAUGUGCUCCUUGUUUUGCUGCUUCCAGGUCCCAGUUUGAUCGCGCUAACCGCGGCAAUCGCAGCCUGCACAAGGGGGUCAGCCAGCACCCCCUCAGGGACGUCUCUGUACUUGUCCGCAGCUAGCUUUGUCGGUGCAGUUCUUGCCUCGCCGCUGCCAUGUGAGUCAAAAUGGAGAAACCUACGAGCACUACUAGCCUCUGGCACUCCAUACGACUCCCUACCAGUGAUCUUUUUAAAUGGGGAGGCACGCAUUGCUGCCGAAAACCUCAUCUCUUGGAGGUUGAUCGGUAGCUUACAAUCGCGUUGGCCAUGCCCAAGGAAACCACAGAAGCUACAAAAGCGAGGAACUCUUUCAUACUUGACUUCUAGGCUGUACACCUUAUUUUCAGCAAGAUCACGAGACUCUAUCGUGGAACGUAGAGGCUCAUCAAAAUCAUGGUUAAUGCGGAUUCUAAGAAAGUCACCUCAGAUUUUACCUUCUCUGUCAGUGUACACCUCCAGGACCUUGCCUAGCAGCUUUCCAAUCUUGCGGGCCACUGGCUCCGAGAGCAUGAUCGGGGGCGCAUCAUAUACACGGACCCAGAUCGGCAUGUGGGCGAUCUCGACAUCGCCCGGGCUUGUCCCUCCAUCCAUCGUCGAGACCAGGAAGGCAUCUCCACGAUGGGUCCAAGGACCGUUGUCGAGGACGAACUUGAGGUCCCCCUCACGCUCAAACUCGAGCAUGAACCGAUUGUUCUUGAGGGGUUUCUGGGCAAAACGCCCCCUGAGCCCCCAUUUGCCCUUGAGCUCCUUGAACAACCCUCCAAUGGUGAAGAGCUGCACCGAGAAGAACAGCCCGACGGCUAUCCAUCUCUUGCGCAUUGCAGCCCUUUCCUUGGUCAGGUCGAGCUCCACCAAGUUGGCCUCCUUCAUCUCCCACGAGACAGGGAAGGUAGGGGUCACCACCGUCCCCAGCGCACGCUGGGGCGCAGGAGCUCCGUUCCCCACAGGAGUGCGGUACCCGCCCCCGCUCCCCCGUGAGGAAUCGCCGCGCAGGAGAGGUCUGGAUCCCAUCCCCCCUACGCCGGCCACCUCUUCCUCCGCCAGCUGCAUCAGGGAGGCCUUGUUCUUUCCUAGGUUCCUGUCCGCCAUGGUUGUCCAGAGGGUGGAGGUCGUGUGGGCAGCGACGAGAUGUGGAGGAGGCCUAAGGACAGUCGGGUCCCUUAAAACCCCCGGCGCAAUCUCCAUGGAUGGCCUCAUCUCACUGUGAUCCAGAAAUUUUUGAUAUGUUUCCUCCGGCGGCUUCCUUGUAUCUGGAAUUCUUUGAUCUUGUGUUCCUCCUUUAUCAGGUGGAUCUUUUUGAAUUGAUUUUCCACCGGAGCCUCUCAUCGACUCAUGAUUUCCUUCCGUAUGAAUCCGCUCAAAAUCUUCUCUCAUCUGGCAUACUUUGUCCUUGAUCCUUUCCAGGCCUAGAUCCGUCGGGCCAUCACGAUCGCCCUUAGUCGCCUGGCGAUAUCCCCUGCUCGCUUUCCGUUUUUCCGCCAGAAUUUUGAUUGCGGAUCUCGUCUUGAUCCAUGCGCCCUGCAGACCAAGAGGAUUCGCGUCCUGUGUAAUCUUCCAAAUUUCUUCGAUACUCUCGUUGAUCCUCCUCUCGGAUCCAGACUUGCUUGGCAAUCGCCUUGAAGUCGCCCCGACCUGGGGAGCGUCAAUCACGGCAGCCAUUUUCGUUUCAACCAAGUCUUGGUCAAUUGGAAUGAUGAAACACCGUGUGAAAGAGGCUCUGUGGCCAUUUGUUGAGCAGACCCUUGGAUCGAUCUAGUCCACUGUAUAGUUUUUCACCUGUGUAACUUUGACUUUGUUGUGAUGGUUUAAUAUAAAGUCAGUGGGGGGUGCCCUUACUGUCCCAAGUUUUCAAAAAAAAAGAUGGUGCCGCUCAUCCGCGUUGAUGACCAAUCGAUCCAUUCCUCAUCAUCCAUCGGGGUUUUGAUUCCGCUCUCACUACCCUUUAGGAUCCCGCCGUGGAUUGGGAUCCAGUGAGAUCGACCGAAUCGAGAAACAGACUUUCCGUGGUUGUCUCCUUCCAAAAGACAACUUCCCCUUUAGGCAAGUGCGGGCGUUCGUUUGCUACCACCCCUCGUUGAUGCGAGAUCAGCUAGAGGUGAUAUUCUCGAUCACACGUCACCCUCCAUUUUUUCACAUAUACAGUCUAAGAAGCAACUCCAUUGUUUUCAAGUAUUUAUUUCUUUGACUAUUCAAUUCUAAGCCCGGGCUCAUCUACCCCCUGUGAUCAGUAGAUUAAAACAAUAAUAGAAAAAAUGUAUAUCAAAAAUCCAUUUUUUAUUAUUUUUUUAACACAGUACAAAUGCAAGCGCUCAUAUAUACGCGCAUACACCUAUCUCUAUAAACGCACACAUGCACACCCUAUCUCUAUGAGCACCUCCGCGAGACUGAGCCGGCAUAUCAUCUUGAGAUUCAUCUUGAGAUUUUAUGAAGUCACCGUAGGCGCCUCGUAGUCGAUAGGAACAUCUCCUCCCACUGAAUGCACAUCGCCAAAAAUCCUGAAUAAAUGCGAGCACCAGGAUUUGAACUCUGGUGGGUUGGAGAUACCGUUGUCUUCCUAACCAUCCAAUCAAAGGUUGGUUCGUAAAUUCGUUUUUUUUCAUAGAAGAUUUUGUAUGAGGUCCAUGCCAAUUUUCAGCGCAUUCGGACAUCUGAGUAGCUUCUAACAAAAAAAAUCUGUUUGUAAACUGUUUCGCAGACCCCAAAUUUAUUUUUUUCUACGAGCUACUCAGAUGUCCAACUACUACACUAAAAAUUAGCAUGAACCUCAUGCACUGAAACAUCUUCAAUGAAAAAUAAUUCCAGAAUUUUUGAAAUUUGUAGUAUUUUUUUUAUUUUACUGUUCACGGCGGGAGCUGAUGAGCUCGGGACCCAUUUCGCCGCUCUCCCCUUCCUUUCUUGAUUCCGUUCGACCUCUAGCUGAUCUCUAAUUCAUGGGAAAUGGUUAGGAAAAUAUUCUCUAGUCCAUGGCAAGAUAAUUUUUGUAUUGAUCAGAGGACAAGUUUAGAAAAUGUUCUUAUAACAGAUUUUUUGAGUUUGCCAUGGCAAAUUUUGCCACGAAUUUGAUAUAAUGCAUGUGUCGGUUCCAUGGCAAAGAAACAUAAUAAUUUUUUCCAUGUUUAUUUGUAUUGGCAUACUUACAUACUGUCCUAAAAAAAGUUUGCCAUUGGAAUAAUUUUUGUUCUCAGAAAUAGUUCCUAGAAAUUUAUUUUUGUUGAAUUUCCAUGUGCAACAUCUACGUUUGAGGGGAAAUUUUACAGCCAUGGCAAAUUUUAAGCCAUGUGAUAUUUUAAGAGCAUGGCAGUUUAUGGCUGCUCUCCUGGAAAAAAAGUUAGAGCCAUUGCAUUUGCUUCCUCUACAUCAUGGUAAAUUUUAUUCUGCCCCCAUGGCAAGUAAGGUGUGUUGGAAGGACAUGGCAUUUACUCAUAAUGUGAUGGUGGUAUGUGACUUUCAUAUGCAUUUGCGACCUGGUGAUAUGCAUGCCACAAGUUUGCUAUAUCAUGCCAUCAAUAAGGACCAGACCAUCUUUGUGAGCUUAUUUCUUAAUUCUAUCUAGUAUCAUGUAUUCUAAACUUAUAUGCACUAUUCACUUUGUUUUCUUUUGUGUAGGCAAGUACUUCCUUGUAGAUGCAGGCUAUUCGAAUAGAUGAUUGGGAUAUCUCCCAUCAUACAAAGCAGAAAGGUAUCACGCCUUUGAAUUCCACAGAGGUGUAGCACAGGACCCUCCAAAGGAGAAGUUCAACAAGAUCCACUCAUCCAAGCGCAAUUGCAUGGAGAGAACUUUCGGUGUCUGGAGGAUGAUGUCCAAAUUCUCCUCAAAAGUCCAGCAUACUGAAUUGAAACCCAGAAGAUGAUUGUUGUUGCUACUAUGGCAUUGAAAAUUAUGUCGGCGCACAUGACAUAGAGGAUGUCCAUUUUGCUCGAUGUGACAGGGACCCGAAUUAUGUGCCAACAAUUUUGGAAUGGUACAAGCGGUACAUAGUCCCCGCAGGUGCACCCGAUUUCAUCCACUAGCGAGGCCAGUGGCCUUGAUAUGACUGAAAUUGGGGAUCAACUAGUUACAACCAUCACUCUAGGUUGGUGAUGUUCAGUGCAUGUUAGCGAUAAAUGGUUGUGACAUGGAUGAUAUUUUGAUUUGCAAACAAACUCGUUCAUUUGUGAUCUAAAUUGUCUUCUGUGUAUUCAAAUUCUAUAAAAAAUGCAUACAUAUUGCUCCCUCCUUUCCUAAAUAUAGUCAUUUUAGAGAUUCCAAUAUAGACUGCAUACGAAGUAAAAUGAAUGAAUCUAUACACUAAAAUAUGUCUAUAUACAUCCUUAGUCUACAUUAAAAUCUCUCAACAUGUUUAUAUUUAGGAAUGGAGGGGUUACUACAUAAAUUUCCAACAAACACAGCAGCGGCAUCAGGAGUCACCUUGACUUACGCCCAAGGCCCUCCUGGCUAGACGAAUUGUCCGCAACCUCUCCCAACGUCGCGGGAAGUGCAACCAACUGGACGAUAGCCCCCGUGACAUACUAUUCAACAAGAUCAAAGCUCAUGCCCGUUGUGUCCCAGGCAGCUGCGGUGUUAGAGGCCUCUCCUGGUGGAGAAACCACAAAUUGCUUGAUGAUCGUAGUCAUCACAUUGGUGACCAUGUCCGGAACUUUGGCUUGAUGCUUCUCGCCUCUUCUUCUUUCUCCAAAUCCGCCGGUGCCGACAUUCCUUCAAAAUUUAGAGAAUGGCGCACGGGCCCAGAGGCUCCAAGGAACCUCUGAAGCUCCUCUCUUUCUAGUUCUAGAUAGGCGGGGCCUUGAUGUCGAAGGAAAAGACGGCUGCACGCUGCUCCUUAGGAAUGCUGCAAAACUUUUCUAUGGUGUGUCCCAGUAGACCAUAACAAAAACAAAAAUUUAGGAGAUUUUCAUGUUUUACAUUGUACUCUAACAAAUAUAAGAUCCUUUAUAGAUCACUAAAGGGAGUGUAGUGAACUAGUGAUCUAAACGAUUUUACAUUUGUUUACAGUCGGAGUACUUCAGAACACUAGAAGAAAGCCCGUGCGUUGCAACGGGGCCACAUUAACUUUAAGUGUUUAAUAUUAAUCAUGUUAAUAUUACAUUUAAUAUUCUCAUACAUAUCAAGUGACACUGGCGACCUUUUUUACCAUCAAAAUCUCACACACAUAUACUCUCCGUACCUCUUCCUCACUCUCUCUCCCCCUCUCCCUCUCUCUCUCUCUAACACACACACACAUAUCCAUCUUAUUGGGUAUGGGACCAUAAUCCAUCUAUUUCACACACACGCUAGUGCAUAAUAAUAUGGAUUAUGUGUAUUAUAUUUGCCACCACAACUGAGGGAAUUUAUUUCAUGUAAAUUGGCCAACCACAGCUCCGUGACAAACAAUACGUCUAAAUUCUCAGCGUUAUUUUUAUGUAAUAUGCAUUAUCUUUAUACUAUUUCUUGUCCGCGAUUAAACUAUUACUUGAACUUGCUACCACCAAAUGAUCUCUCUCUCUCUCUCUCUCUCUCUCUCUCUCUCUCUCUCUCAGACACACACACUCACACACACACUCUCUGAUAUUAUAGGACCAAAAACUUUUACCAAUUACCAUACUGUAGAACACCACACUCCUCACUGCAUCAAUGGGCGUUGGGUGGUGUCUCUUGGUCACCUGGCAUCCUCUAAUUCUGCGCCACCAUCUCGAUUAUCUCCCUUGGCACCGAAUUGUAAACACAUGCCCUCCUUCUCCUCCUUCCCUGUGCUUCACAACACCCGAGCUGACCGCGAAUCAAAUCUGGACUGCUGGUACGGGCGCCCAUGAGCUAAUACAAAGAUUCUCAAUCAGACAUGACAAGAAUGUAAAAAAGAGCACAUACCUUGAUGCGGAAACUGCUGCCGCCUACCAAGUGAAGACCAGCAGGUGCGUUGCUCCGCUGUGGAUCUGUGCUGGCUUGAGUCCAUGUCUGCCGUUGGGCCGCUGCUCGCAUUCGUCCCACCCAUCGCCCAAGCCGGCGUUAGGACCAAACUCAAUAGCCUUGCCCGCCUUAAUGGUUCCACACCACGAGAUCGAAUCAAGCAUCCACUAGUAGAAAAAGGACCUUAUGUGAGACACAUUAGUCCCGGUUCGAUUUUGGCCCGGUACUAAUGGUAUCAUUAGUACCGGUUCAAACGGCUAUGCAUUAGUGCCGGUUCGUGUUGAACCUUUAGUACCGGUUCGUGCCACGAACCGGUACUAAAGGGGUGGUGGCAGGCUGGCGUCAGGCCGGGGCCCCACGAGCCCCUUUAGUCCCGGUUUGUGGCACAAACCGGUACUAAAGGGCCAACCUUUAGUACCGGUUCGUGCGACGAACCGGCACUAAAGGGGUCUAACCUAUAGUCCCGGUUGGAGACACAAACCGGGACUAUAGGGCAAUUUUCAAACUUGAAAAAAUCAUAACUAAAUCAUCCUAAUUCAGAAAAAUACAUAUAAUAUAUCAAAAUUUGCAGAACAAAAAGAUUGAUCCGCUAAAUCAUCCUCGUGUGGGAUUGUUUAUGUUUUGGCCACGACGGUGGUCGUUGUGUCUUUGGUAGACACGGGGCCACCUAGGACUAGCCCGAUGGGGAGUGAGUCGGAGUGGCCGGGAGAGUGUCAUGGCAAUGGAGGGGUUUCGUCGGAAUGCCGUUGGUCCACCCGAAUGGGAGUGCGAGUCCAUGGGUUCCGUGGUGUGGGUACAGUGCGCUACCUCUGCAGAGUGUAUUAAUCUAUCGAUAGCCGAGUCCACGGUUACGGACACGCUCGAAAGUAGGUCACACCAUGGGUCAACGUUUAAUAAAUUUUGCACACUAAGUUAUGAACUUUGCACUGUUGAUGAUGACAGAAAGGUCAUCUUGUUUUUUUAGACCAAGUGUUGGUCGUGGUUGUGAUCGCCGGAAGGAUCACCGUUUAAGACCAAAUAAUUCAGAAAAUUGAAAAUCGAAAAAAAAUCAAAUUUUUUCCCCAAAAUUUUCAAAAAAUAAUUUUAAAAAAAACCUUUAGUACCGGUUGGUAACACCAACCGGUACUAAAGGUCCCCCAUACCACGGCGCGAGCUCACGCCACGUGGUGGGCCUUUAGUGGCGGUUCGUGCCGAACCGGUACUAAAGGGGGGAGGCCUUUAGUCUCCACUCUUUAGUGCCGGUUGCAGAACCGACACUAAAGGCCCUUAUGAACCGGUAUUAAAGCUCCGUUUUCUACUAGUGAUCAUAGAGUUCGGGGAGGAGUAGCAUUUCCACCGUCAGCUCCUCGCUGAUGUAUCAGCGUAUAGUGCGGGGAGGACACGGAACGUAAAUACUUGGGGUUUAGCGCUGGUGGCGGGAACGACCGACACAGCCUCCUUGUGCCGCUCCUUGCUGCCCGCCCUGAUCUGGGGAUCCUAGCGCCCUGCCCUAGGGUUACUCGCUGGCGGCGGCUGCGGCGGCGUUUCCCUCAAGAAAAAAAGCACGUCUCAUGUCUGGCUCGUGCAGGAAUCCAUCACCAAGUAGGAUCAGUAGUUCCGUCCCGAAUCGGUUAUGUUGCAAGUCCUAGCUAGGGAAAUACCUAAUGGUUCCUGGUUGUAUAUGCACCCUAUAUGUGAUUUUUUUUAAAAUAUUUUUGAAAAAAGUCAAAUAGGUAAGAACUAUUUUGACAAAACACUUGACUUACUUUUGCACUGGUAUAUACACUUUCACAAAAAAAACA